AAGAGGAGAUGGCGUGGAGGAUAGCCAAGAUGAUCGUCAACGACGUCAUGCAGCAGGCACACCCCCCGGAGGCAGCGGUCGAAAAGGUGACUAAGCUAUGAUCUUCAGGAGUUUCUGCCUAUGAAGUGAAGCGGAGCCGGAUUUCUCCCCCUCCUCCCUGAAGACCCCUUCUCACAGCUGCUCUCCUAGCAUCCCACAUCCUAAUCAGCGGGUGCACACACACACACACACCUUUGUGCUGGGGAAGAAAGAAGGCUUUCCUUUCUCUCUGGAGAGCCAAUUGAAGGAAGAUUUCCCCCAUCGCCUCCUACCAAGGGUUCUCCUUUCUGGACUAGAGUGAGGCACGGAGAACGGAAAAAAAUCGCCCCUUAGUUUUCCGAGCUGCGAUUUUUUUGUUGUUGUUGAUAUUGUUGUUAUCGCAAACUUUUUUUUUUAAAAAAAAGACAUUUGCAAUCAGAAAGGCUCAGGGCACCUUCGGUAUGUCGGAGAGGGCUUUGCAGUGGGGUGGGGAAAGCGGGGAGCAGUCUGGAACCGUUUUGGAAUGAUCCUGGAAUAAUGAAGUAUUCCAUGAACUGGAAUCUGUUCUCCCGCGCAUUUUGGGCCAGUUCGGGGAAAAAGAAGGAGUUGGGGACAAAACGAUUUUUCCUUCCCUUCUUGCCUUCCAAAAAAACCCCGCGCAACUCCAUGCCUCUCCCUCACUCUGCAGAGCAACAUUGCUGCCAUCUGAGAGAAAAAAAAUGCAAGGAAAUAAUAAUAAUAAGCAAUGAACUUUUGUGUGUUUCCUGUUUAUUUUAUUUUAUUUUUUUUGUCUCCAUGAAGGUGAAAACGACGAUUGUUUGCCUGUUUUUUAGACGUUCGUUCAGUUUUUGGCUGAAUUGUUCCCAGAUUCCUGCCUUUCUCACUUCUCCGUUAAUGCAAUUUGUGGGGUUGGUUUUCCUUUUUCUUUUCCCCUUCUCCCCCUUUUUCCUUUCUACAAAUCCGAAACUUCCUCCGAUCUCCAGCGCGUGCCACGCGCGAGACGUUUUACAAAAAGUUUGGAAUACUUGAGACAAAAUCUACUCCCGUCGUGCUUAUAGGGUGUUUUUUUUUAAAUCCCCUUCUGCUAUUUUGUUUCCUGUUGCGAUGUUUUUAUUCCUUUGCGAAGGUUUUUCUCUUUUCUUUUUUACGUUCCCGUUGGCGUUUGUUUCCUGAAGACUUGUGCAAAAAAGAAAGCAAAAAAAAAAAAAAAGGAUUUAUGAUCUCAAAACUACUUUUAGGAAAGUUUUUUUUUUUUUUGAUUUGGUCUCCAGCCCUUGGAAAAGAGGAAUGGACUAAACGCACAUCACUUUUCUGGUUUCGGCUGGAGCGAGACGCCGUCAAGAAGCGAAAUAUGUAUGAGUUUCUUUGGUACUGUGUACCAUCUUAUCAUCUAAUACCCAAGUAUUCCAGUACUCAAACCAUAUUUAAUUGUGUUUUGAUUGAAAUAUAAAUAUAUAUAUAUAUCUAUAUAUAAAUUUGGUACCUGUG